UACGUAGGUAGCAAGCGUUGUCCGGAUUUACUGGGUGUAAAGGGCGUGCAGCCGGGCUGACAAGCCAGAUGUGAAAUCCCGCGGCUCAACCUGUGGCCUGCAUUUGAAACUGUGUUUCUUGAGUACUGGAGAGGCAGACGGAAUUCCUAGUGUAGCGGUGAAAUGCGUAGAUAUUAGGAGGAACACCAGUGGCGGAGGCGGUCUGCUGGACAGCAACUGACGCUGAGGCGCGAAAGCGUGGGGAGCAAACAGG
rnacentral:rRNA from 1 species